AAGGAAGGGAAAAGGGAAGGAAGGAAGGAAGGAACGAACGAACGAAUGAACUAUGUUCGAAUAACUUCUGCCAUGGAUACCCAUCCUGACCUCCUGAGCCUAUGCUCCAAUUCCAAGUGGUUAAUUUUCUGUUGUGUCUAAGGGACAUGCCCUCUCCACGUUCUAGAACAUUCUAUAUAUGACCUUAGAUUUCAGGUGUCGGCAGCCCCCAAUCUGGAUCGAGAGCAGUGUAGUUUGUGACUGGGAUUUCCUCCAUGGCCUCCACACAAAAGGCUUAGUCCCUAGCAUGUCACUAUUGGGAGGUAACCAAAACAUGAAAUGAGCCCUAACCAGAGGAAGUUAGGUCAUUGGGGUUGUGCUCUCAAAGAAGCUAGUGAACAUAUAUAUACAUCUAUAUAAACAUAUAUAUACAUACUAGCACAUUUAUAUAUUUAGGCAUGUAGAAUAUGGGCCUAUAUAGUUACUCCCACAUCCUGCAAAUGGCAGGUUUCUCCCAUCUCCCUUUUCCUAACACAACUGACUCAGUUUGGCAAACACAGAUUCUGAUUAUCAGAAGUUCUCUUGCCUUGGAUCCUUAUCCAAUGUCAUGGAUCCAAUCCACAGACUUUCUAAAACCUUCCAAGUGUAGGCCUUUUAGUUAACUCGUCUUUCUUCCUCUGACACUGUAGCCCCUGAGUAUAAUAGCAUCACUGAGCUGCUCUGUGAGUAUGAUAGCAUCCCAUGCACAGAGCCUUGGCCUAGAGUUUAGGGUACACAAUCUUUUCAGGGCUGGAAAGAGUGAGGCUGUAGACAUGAGCCUCAGAUGACAGGAGUCCCUAGGCAUCCCAGAUAAAGAUCUUCCAUUUACUUAUCUGUCAAUACCUGGCUGAAUGGAGGAACAGUGUGCUCUUAUCCCUAGCUAAGACUGGCUACAAACUCCAGCUGAACGUUCCUGUCCCUACACAUCUUUCCUGUAUUCCAUCUUCAGCAUCCUUGACUCCUCCAUCUUGACAGAUCUUUGACUCCCACCCAAGCUGAAGUUUCACUGCCACCCAUGUGACCUUGUACCUCUCCGAGAUCUCCACCCUUAUCAUAUCAUCAGCCUUACCCUCUCAAAGGGCACUUCACCGUUUCCUCUCCUGUGAAUAUGCAUUGAGAUGGAAAACUUCCUUUGGAUGCUGGCUUCUUCCCUGGUCUCUCAGUAGUUCCAGAAAACACUGUGUCCCAGAAAAGCCGUUCCUUCGCUUGGUUCAACUGCUUUAGACUCUGAAAAUAGCUCUGACUUCAUUCACUCAGCUGCUCUGGAGUUCAGAAGUGAAGACAGUCAUGGCUGGAAGUAUUAACUAACUCUGGAGUAUAGAAAGGACCUGUGUGGUCCUAAAAGAAAAUUUGCUGAUCAGGAAACCCUACAGAGCUAAGGGCAAUCAGGACCAGGUGACUACAUCUUAGGAGAAGGUGAAUUGAACUCCCCUCAAAGUCUGGAAAGGUUGACUAAUGCAUCUGUUUGGAACAAGCUCAGAACCUUUUAGAACCUUUACCUCUUUCUUUCUCAAAUGGCCUCCAUUUCUGUAAAGCCAAAUUAAAAAGGAGAUGGGCUAUUCAAAAUCUUGGAGGUGAGAUCACCUGUGCUACCUUUAGCUGAAUAGGGAGGAGAAGUAUUGCAAAGUGUUGGCUAGGUCUAAAAUUACAAGAGAGGAGAAGUCUGGGGGCCCACCCUGGCAUCCAUGGUGAAGGCUGAAGUGUUCAACAUGCAACUACUUCAGAAGAAACUUCCACUACUGCCCUCUUUCUACAGCCAGAAAUGAAGGCAGCAUGGUAGUCAUGUUGCCCAGACCACCGAUACCGAGUCCCAGUGACUGCAGUGUCUGAGAGUCACCGCGGCCAGUCACAGAAGCUGCCAUGUAUAAAGAAUUUCCAUGUCUGCAAGGCAUGGUGCUGUAGCGUUUUAUCUAAUACUCACAAGUUUCCUGAGUUGGGGGCUCUAAUGCAGAAUUGAGAGCCAAGAGACAAUAGUAGUAAGAUGUAAAGUCAAAGCAUGGCAGAAGGCAACACUCAGACAGCUGGUCCCUGAGCUUGAAGAUUUGUGGAAGGUAGAUGUGACCAGUCUUGGGUCUCUGGGUAUUUUAAGCCAAUGAGUAGUAAGGCCAGGUACAGAGGAAAACUGGCAUUGGCUUCAGGGGACAUUGUACUGGGCUCUUAAAGAUAUAUUCAAAGAAUGUCACGCUGGACAGGCACAAACCUCUUAAACCCAAACAGUCUUCCCAAACCGUGGCUCAGAGCUUGACAUCUGGACCACAAGCUCGCUGCGAGCUGUUAUUUCAUUUGCUUUACAUGGAUGGGGUUUAAAAUCAGUGUCUAUGCAACCUGUACCUCAAUUGAAAGGCAGUUCACAAUCUAUAUUUUGAUAAGGAUUUUUUAAAGACUCAUUUGUCAAGCUGAGAUUAAAGGCAAAGAUCAGACAUCA